rnacentral:lncRNA from 1 species
AUUACUCGACGAUCCAUUAACCCCAUACUUACUUCCGUUGCUAGCAGCAGCGCCAUUUCCAUUCAAUUCUCGCAACAGCUUACUUUCCCUUUCCUCGAUCACCGUACUCUCUCCCUUGGCAGCUCGAGCUCGAUUCUGACGCCGGAUACACCUGUAGCUAAGAUGAAGACUCCGACGAGGAAACGAAUUCACACCGAAAGACCGUUCGGAGAGCCUA